rnacentral:rRNA from 1 species
UGGGGAAUUUUGGACAAUGGGGGCAACCCUGAUCCAGCAAUGCCGCGUGUGUGAAGAAGGCCUUCGGGUUGUAAAGCACUUUUGUCCGGAAAGAAAACUUCGGGGCUAAUACCCCUGGAGGAUGACGGUACCGGAAGAAUAAGCACCGGCUAACUACGUGCCAGCAGCCGCGGUAAUACGUAGGGUGCGAGCGUUAAUCGGAAUUACUGGGCGUAAAGCGUGCGCAGGCGGUGCUGUAAGACCGAUGUGAAAUCCCCGGGCUUAACCUGGGAACUGCAUUGGUGACUGCAGCGCUGGAGUAUGGCAGAGGGGGGUGGAAUUCCACGUGUAGCAGUGAAAUGCGUAGAGAUGUGGAGGAACACCGAUGGCCAAGGCAGCCCCCUGGGCCAAUACUGACGCUCAUGCACGAAAGCGUGGGGAGCAAACAGG